rnacentral:rRNA from 1 species
GGGUCAGUAGGUUGGUCGUGCCACCGGUACGUACUGGCCUCACUUAUUCCUCCUUCCUGAAGAACCGUAAUGCCAUUAAUUUGGUGUUGCGGGGAAACAGGACUGUUACUUUGAAAAAAUUAGAGUGUUUAAAGCAAGCUAACGCUUGAAUACAUUAGCAUGGAAUAAUGAAAUAGGACGAUCGAUCCUAUUUUGUUGGUUUCUAGGAUUGACGUA